UACAGAGGGGGCAAGCGUUGUUCGGAAUUACUGGGCGUAAAGGGCGCGUAGGCGGCCUUCUAAGUCGAACGUGAAAUCCCUGGGCUCAACCCAGGAACUGCGUCCGAUACUGGAAGGCUUGAAUCCGGGAGAGGGAUGCGGAAUUCCAGGUGUAGCGGUGAAAUGCGUAGAUAUCAAGAGGAACACCUGAGGUGAAGACGGGUUGCUGGGCUGACACUGACGCUGAGGCGCGAAAGCCAGGGGAGCAAACGGG
rnacentral:rRNA from 1 species